GUUUGCUUUCUAAAUGUAUCAUUGAUGGGGUUAGGUGUGUUCUCUGGCUGCAGAGUAAACUACAACUCCCACUAUGGUGGGUCACUCUCCCCCAAAUCCCUCUAGUAUGUUCUAUUCAUCAUGAGGGUUCCGCAUGCCAAAUGUGGUCCAGGUCCAUUGUUGUUGGUGAUCACAGUGCUGUGUCUUGAUGCAGGGUGAACUACAACUUCCAUCAUGUUGAGUCAUUCCCCCAAACCCCACCAGUAUGUUUAGUUCUUCAGUUGCUGAUCAAUUCUGCUCUGUUUGCUGUGUGCCAUAGGAAAGGGUAGAAAAGGGUUAAGGGAGAGGCAGUGGGUGGGGUCAUGCAAAUUCCACACCAAUAGAGACAGAAAGGAACACUGGGAAGUGUCUUUGGUGGAGGAAAAAAAGAAAAUCUAGGAUGAAAUUGUCCCCAAAUGAAAGCCUUUAUUUGGGUGGUGAGCAGUAUGGUGUUUGUGGAGGACAUUGGCAGGGUUCGUGUACAUGUUCAUGGUGCCCGCUAUAACCUGCAAUGUUCCUUGGAAGAAGGGGGGCCAUUGGUGGCUCCUCAGCACUGGGAGUUGUAGCUGAUUGUGGAGGCAGGAGCCUGUCUGUGUAAAUGGACACCCGUGCCACAUACAUGCAUACAGAUUUUCACUUUUAUUAUGUGUAUAGAUGGAAAGAACAGGAUGGGGUGGAGUGGGUAUGAAUCCAGAAUAUAUCCAGUCCCCAUCUAGCUGUCUUUAACUACAGAUUGCCUACUUCACAGGCAUUUUCUCUGGCGUGUAUGAUAAGGUUCUUGGACUCGGGAGAGCAGAGCUCAAAUCUCCACCUGGACUUAAAAAUCCACCAAGUGAUCUUGGGUACCUCACACUCUUUCAGCCUCAGGACAAGGCAAAGGCAAAACCCUCUGGACAAAUUUUGCCAACACAAAAACCCAACUAUGAUAGUUCACCAGAAGUUGGAAAUGACUUGAAGGAACACAACAGUACUGCAUCCAUAAUUAUCAAAUGGAUCGUCAGCCAGUCAAGAAGGCACACUAUUGAUGUUCAGACCAUUCUUCUGUCGCAUACUGGUGAGCCAUGUCUCAACUGUCAAUGUAAAAUUAGAUUCACAGGGAAAACAUAAAUAAAAUGACUGAAACACUGGAAGUGACCACUGGGGAAGCCUCCUUGUGCAUCCCCAUCAAAUGUGACUCAAAGGAUAAUAAAACUGAAAGAAGGCCUUUCUCUAAGGAUCUCAAAACACAGGCAAGUUCAUAUGGAAGUAUACAGUUCUUCAGUAAUAAUGUAAGUUGACACCUCACUCUUCAAAGUUAGAGAAAGCCUGUAAUUUUUAUUGUUUCUAGCAUUCUUAAUUAACUAAGAUGUAUGAGUGUUUGCAACCCUGGACAGAGGAACAAUGGUGCCAGUCCCAAGGGAAACUUCUUUUAGACCCAUAUUGCAGACAAAAGAGAUGGAAAGAUAUCAAAGAACAAAGUUAAAGGAUGAAGAUUUUACAAGUGCCAGCUACUCAAAAUGGCAUUAAACAUGCUCUUAAUUGUCUAAAGCUUGUCAGUCCCGAAGGAAAGGGGAAAUAGUGGGAAACAAAGCAUUUGCAUCAAAAAACAAAGAAACAAAUCUGAAAGUAUUAAGAGAGUUUUCUCGUGGCACCCAUUCCUCUACUUUUCUAGUUACCUAGCACAAUGCUACUUAUAAAACAAGCUGUAAGCCAUCUUGAGACUCAUGAAGGCAGUAAGUACCAAAUGUGCCAUCACGCACCAAGCCUUUGCCCAUAAAAGAGAACUGUUCCACAUUAGCAGGGAGGGUGGGAGACACUUACUACUCUGUCCCUCAGAUAGAAGUUUUCAAAUUUGUACAGAUUCAAAGCCUUUAAUUCAAGCCUUGAAGACAGCUAAUAACACAACAGUGGGGAAUAUGCAAUCCUUUAACUCUCUCCCUUAAAUUGCUUCAAUCUGUCUUCAAACUGUAUUGACUGCAAACCUAUGCAGUGGCUGGGAAAAUCUAUCACCUCACGGCUGAAAAUGGCUCCGCAGUCUUCAAAAGCAUUUAAUUAAAAUGCAACUUAAAAACUAAGUAGCUUGAGGUACACAGUCUUAUCAUCCUCUUAGUAGGUACAUUAAGUUUGAGGUGUUCAGGCUUCAUACUGAUACAACUAUGUCUCCAAGAAAUAGAUAGAGACAACACUACUUUUAUUUUACUGUAAUAGAUUUGUUGUGCUGUUUUUGUCUUGGAAAUGACCGAUUAGGCUUCAUACUUUAGUUAUUAUUUUUCUCUGAAGAACAGUAAAAAAAAGUCUUAUAAGUAGAGAAAGUGACUAUAUCAAACAAUCUCUAUUUCUAGUUGGAAUUAGACAAGUAUUGAUUUUCCAUUCGGUAAUUGAUGCAAUAGAUCUAUUCCAGUUGAAACUUAAAAAAUGGAUUUAGAUAUCUCAGUUCCUUCCAUUACUUUUUAAAGAAGAUAAGAGGAGCAAAUUUAACAAAAUCUUAUAUAUCUUCCAGGUUUUUAAAAGUCCAUUCAUUUAUAUUCCACCUUUCUCUCCAAAUGGGGUUCAAGGUAGCUAAAGCCAUAUUUUAAACAAUACUGUUCUUGCUUGGCUUUCCUUUCUGGCUGCCCUCUUACUCUGUUUAUUUAGGACCUCAUCAGGACCCCAUUUCUACACACUUUAAAACAGUUUACAGACAUGAUCCCUUGUAGCCCAUUCAUUGGUAAUUGAGGAUUCUGGAGUCAGAGAGCAGUUGCCUUCAGAGCACCUGAAGCACAUGGAAGUGGCUAAACGCACCUAUUUACACAUGGAAUUGGGAACUGUCAGAUUCGCUUGUGUUAGUUCUUUUCAGUUACAUU